rnacentral:rRNA from 1 species
UUUAAACCUUUUUCCAGAGUAUCAAUUGGAGGGCAAGUCUGGUGCCAGCAGCCGCGGUAAUUCCAGCUCCAAUAGCGUAUAUUAAAAUUGUUGCAGUUAAAAAGCUCGUAGUUGAAUUUCUGCUACAUUGCCUAUUCUCCUUUACGAGUUUGGGUCUUUUGUGGCUUAUCUGGGUUCGCUUGCGUUCCCGGUGUUUUACUUUGAGAAAAUUAGAGUGCUCAAAGCAGGCUUUUGCCUUGAAUAGUUUAGCAUGGAAUAAUAAAGUAGGACUUUGGUUCUAUUUUGUUGGUUUUAGGUACCAAAGUAAUGGUUAAUAGGAACAGUUGGGGGCAUUCGUAUUUAACUGUCAGAGGUGAAAUUCUUAGAUUUGUUAAAGACGAACUACUGCGAAAGCAUUUGCCAAGGAUGUUUUCAUUAAUCAAGAACGAAAGUUAGGGGAUCGAAGACGAUCAGAUACCGUCGUAGUCCUAACCAUAAACUAUGCCGACUAGAGAUUGGAGGUCGUCAGUUUUUACGACUCCUCAGCACCUGAGAGAAAUCAAAG